AUUGAACGCUGGCGGCAGGCCUAACACAUGCAAGUCGAACGAGUGGCGGACGGGUGAGUAAUGGCUGGGAAACUGCCUGAUGGAGGGGGAUAACUACUGGAAACGGUAGCUAAUAACGCAUACCAUCAGAUGUGCCCAGAGUGGAUUAGCUUGUUGGUGGGGUAACGGCUCACCAAGGCGACGCUCCCUAGCUGGGCUGAGAGGAUGACCGGCCACCCUGGACCUAAGCCACGGUCCAGACUCCUACGGGGUGCAGCAGUGGGGAAUAUUGCACGAUGGGCGCAAGCCUGAUGCAGCCAUGCCGCGUGUAUGAAGAAGGCCUUCGGGUUGUAAAGUACUUUCAGCGGGGAGGCUUUACCCUCAGAAGAAGCACCGGCUAACUCCGUACCAGCAGCCGCGGUAAUUC
rnacentral:rRNA from 1 species